rnacentral:rRNA from 1 species
UACGGGGGGAGCAAGCGUUGUUCGGAUUUACUGGGCGUAAAGGGCGCGUAGGCGGCCACUGCAAGUCAGUUGUGAAAUCUCCGGGCUUAACCCGGAAAGGUCAACUGAUACUGCAGGGCUAGAGUGCAGAAGGGGCAACUGGAAUUCUCGGUGUAGCGGUGAAAUGCGUAGAUAUCGAGAGGAACACCUGCGGCGAAGGCGGGUCUCUGGGCAGUAACUGACGCUGAGGAGCGAAAGCGUGGGGAGCGAACAGG